UACGGAGGAUGCAAGCGUUAUCCGGAAUGAUUGGGCGUAAAGCGUCCGCAGGUGGCCAUGUAAGUCUGCUGUCAAAGCGUCUGGCUCAACCAGAUAAAGGCAGUGGAAACUACAUAGCUAGAGUAAGGUAGGGGUAGAGGGAAUUCCUGGUGUAGCGGUGAAAUGCGUAGAGAUCAGGAAGAACACCGGUGGCGAAAGCGCGCUGCUGGACCUUAACUGACACUGAGGGACGAAAGCUAGGGGAGCGAAUGGG
rnacentral:rRNA from 1 species